CCGAAUACAAUGCCAGUUAUGUAUUUUAAUGUAAACUGCCGGUUCUGCUGCACGGAGGGAUAAUCCACUUAACGGUAUAUUCCAUUGGGAGUAUCCCCCUCGUGCAGCAGUGUCUGAUGGGAGAAAUGCCCAGAAUGUUAAGUACCCCAUGUAGUCCCCUACUGUAUUACCCCUACAAUGUCAGUGGGGAAACCCCUUGCAUGGGGACUUGCAUAAAUACUGGAGCUGCAAAUAAAGACCUCAGUUGACUCCCAGAACUGUAUUUCGUCCGGUUACUGGGGGAUUUGGGAUAUUGCCUUGCUUCUCAGCGCUUGACUGUGGAUUACUGUAUG